GGAGGGUUGCACUGAAUUAUCUUUACAUCGCCCUGGGCUAACAGCUUGGAUACUGUUUUUGCAGUUGUCCAGGAACUGAACCCUGAGAGUCUAACAAAGCUGGGACUUGAACUUCAGAGAGCUUUCAUACAAAGAACAGGAUCUGCUUCUUGGCAUGACACACCUUUGCUGGAAUCACCAUCUAUAUCUGUCCUGAAUUUCUCCAGAAAAGGACCUCUGUUGCGGUGGAUUCUGCAUUGUGGUCUCAUCUGUUCAGUUCUGGAAAGAGACACUCUGACCUCAUUUCACCCAGACCAUGUUACAUUAUUGUUUUUAGGGAUUUUUAAUAUAAACCAGAUUUCUCUGCGUUCUCAUUUAUCUUCCAUUGAUUUCUGUAGCUUAUUCAAAGUUCUUAAUAUCCUUCUGUGAUUUUUGUUUAUUCACCACUCUUUAUUAGCAAAUCCUUAAUUCCUUAGUGCUUCUAAAGCUCCUUAGGACAUGAAACAAUACUUCUGAUUUGUUAACUGUUAUCAUUACCACCAGUGGUAUGG
rnacentral:lncRNA from 1 species